rnacentral:rRNA from 1 species
UACAGAGGGUGCUAGCGUUAAUCGGAAUUACUGGGCGUAAAGCGCACGCAGGCGGUUGGUUAAGUCAGAUGUGAAAGCCCCGGGCUCAACCUGGGAAUUGCAUUUGAAACUGGGAAACUAGAGUGUGUGAGAGGGGGGUAGAAUUCCAAGUGUAGCGGUGAAAUGCGUAGAGAUUUGGAGGAAUACCAGUGGCGAAGGCGGCCCCCUGGCACAACACUGACGCUCAGGUGCGAAAGCGUGGGGAGCAAACAGG